rnacentral:rRNA from 1 species
GUCUACGGUCAUGCUACCCUGAACAAGCCCGAUCCCGUCUAAUCUUGGAAGCUAAGCAGGGUAGGGCCUGGUUAGUACUUGGAUGGGAGACCACCUAGGAAGACCAGGUGCUGUAGGUA